UACGUAGGGUGCAAGCGUUAAUCGGAAUUACUGGGCGUAAAGCGUGCGCAGGCGGUUUUGUAAGUCAGAUGUGAAAUCCCCGGGCUUAACCUGGGAACUGCGUUUGAAACUACAAGGCUAGAGUGUGGCAGAGGGGGGGUGGGAUUCCACGUGUAGCAGUGAAAUGCGUAGAGAUGUGGAGGAACACCGAUGGCGAAGGCAGCCCCCUGGGUUAACACUGACGCUCAGGCACGAAAGCGUGGGGAGCAAACAGG
rnacentral:rRNA from 1 species